GGAGGAGCAUGACGGCUACUCUGUCACAUUAGCUGACUAAUGCUGGCUAACGUUAAACAUUUUUUUAGAUUAUUGAUAGAGAGGUAGCUAGUAAUCAAAAGUUAAAUAUCGCUUGUUGUAAACGUUAGCUAGCAUAACGUUACAUGUCCAAAGAAGAGAGAAGACCCAGACGAAGAAGAACGCAGCGAUGACAGAGUCCGUAACAGAACUGAACAGGGAAGUAGUUCAGAAGAUGAAAACAGUGAGCUGGGUCCAGGCAGAAUCAGCUCAGUCCCAAAGAGGGAUGCAGCCAACAUUGGAGAGAGAGACUACUCUGGGGAACAAAGCGCUGACCAUGGUGCGCAGAGCGGCGCUGCAGGAUCUUCUGAAGCAGGAGCAACAGCAAUAUGCCAUGGAGCUGGCCCUGAUUGGAAAAGCCUUUUACAAACAAAGAAUAUAAACCCAGGAACCCCACACUCACACACUUCUCAUAAAAUUCUCUCUUUCACUUAUCCCUUGCAUCAAACCAGUAACUGUCCAACCUGUAUAGAAUGUCAGAUUUUUAUUGAAUUCUAUUAUAUUUAUUAUUUAUUUAAUAACAGUGUGAGAAAAUAAAAUUUAUCCAAGAU